rnacentral:rRNA from 1 species
GCAAGUCGAGGGGUAACAGGAAGAAAGCUUGCUUUCUUUGCUGACGAGCGGCGGACGGGUGAGUAACGCGUAGGAAUCUGCCUAGUAGAGGGGGACAACAUGUGGAAACGCAUGCUAAUACCGCAUACGCCCUGAGGGGGAAAGGAGGGGAUCACUUGUGACCUUCCGCUAUUAGAUGAGCCUGCGUGAGAUUAGCUAGUUGGUAGGGUAAAGGCCUACCAAGGCGACGAUCUCUAACUGGUCUGAGAGGAUGACC